rnacentral:rRNA from 1 species
GGGUUGUGAGGUUAAGCGACUAAGCGUACACGGUGGAUGCCCUGGCAGUCAGAGGCGAUGAAGGACGUGCUAAUCUGCGAUAAGCGUCGGUAAGGUGAUAUGAACCAUUAUAACCGGCGAUUUCCGAAUGGGGAAACCCAGUGUGAUUCGUCACACUAUCAUUAACUGAAUCCAUAGGUUAAUGAGGCGAACCGGGGGAACUGAAACAUCUAAGUACCCCGAGGAAAAGAAAUCAACCGAGAUUCCCCCAGUAGCGGCGAGCGAACGGGGAGCAGCCCAGAGCCUGAAUCAGUGUGUGUGUUAGUGGAAGCGUCUGGAAAGGCGUGCGAUACAGGGUGACAGCCCCGUACACAAAAAUGCACAUAUUGUGAGCUCGAUGAGUAGGGCGGGACACGUGGUAUCCUGUCUGAAUAUGGGGGGACCAUCCUCCAAGGCUAAAUACUCCUGACUGACCGAUAGUGAACCAGUACCGUGAGGGAAAGGCGAAAAGAACCCCGGCGAGGGGAGUGAAAAAGAACCUGAAACCGUGUACGUACAAGCAGUGGGAGCACGCUUAGGCGUGUGACUGCGUACCUUUUGUAUAAUGGGUCAGCGACUUAUAUUCUGUAGCAAGGUUAACCGAAUAGGGGAGCCGAAGGGAAACCGAGUCUUAACUGGGCGUUAAGUUGCAGGGUAUAGACCCGAAACCCGGUGAUCUAGCCAUGGGCAGGUUGAAGGUUGGGUAACACUAACUGGAGGACCGAACCGACUAAUGUUGAAAAAUUAGCGGAUGACUUGUGGCUGGGGGUGAAAGGCCAAUCAAACCGGGAGAUAGCUGGUUCUCCCCGAAAGCUAUUUAGGUAGCGCCUCGUGAAUUCAUCUCCGGGGGUAGAGCACUGUUUCGGCAAGGGGGUCAUCCCGACUUACCAACCCGAUGCAAACUGCGAAUACCGGAGAAUGUUAUCACGGGAGACACACGGCGGGUGCUAACGUCCGUCGUGAAGAGGGAAACAACCCAGACCGCCAGCUAAGGUCCCAAAGUCAUGGUUAAGUGGGAAACGAUGUGGGAAGGCCCAGACAGCCAGGAUGUUGGCUUAGAAGCAGCCAUCAUUUAAAGAAAGCGUAAUAGCUCACUGGUCGAGUCGGCCUGCGCGGAAGAUGUAACGGGGCUAAACCAUGCACCGAAGCUGCGGCAGCGACGCUGAUGCGUUGUUGGGUAGGGGAGCGUUCUGUAAGCCUGUGAAGGUGUGCUGUGAGGUAUGCUGGAGGUAUCAGAAGUGCGAAUGCUGACAUAAGUAACGAUAAAGCGGGUGAAAAGCCCGCUCGCCGGAAGACCAAGGGUUCCUGUCCAACGUUAAUCGGGGCAGGGUGAGUCGACCCCUAAGGCGAGGCCGAAAGGCGUAGUCGAUGGGAAACAGGUUAAUAUUCCUGUACUUGGUGUUACUGCGAAGGGGGGACGGAGAAGGCUAUGUUGGCCGGGCGACGGUUGUCCCGGUUUAAGCGUGUAGGCUGGUUUUCCAGGCAAAUCCGGAAAACUAAGGCUGAGGCGUGAUGACGAGGCACUACGGUGCUGAAGCAACAAAUGCCCUGCUUCCAGGAAAAGCCUCUAAGCAUCAGGUAACAUCAAAUCGUACCCCAAACCGACACAGGUGGUCAGGUAGAGAAUACCAAGGCGCUUGAGAGAACUCGGGUGAAGGAACUAGGCAAAAUGGUGCCGUAACUUCGGGAGAAGGCACGCUGAUAUGUAGGUGAAGUCCCUCGCGGAUGGAGCUGAAAUCAGUCGAAGAUACCAGCUGGCUGCAACUGUUUAUUAAAAACACAGCACUGUGCAAACACGAAAGUGGACGUAUACGGUGUGACGCCUGCCCGGUGCCGG